AGAUCAGGGAGCAGGGGCGGCUCUGGACACCUGACCUGGAUGAGGACCAGUGUCUGGCCUCCUUUGAUUUCUGCUGCUGACUUAUAGGUAUAACUACAGGAUUUGCAACUGAGCUCAUGCGAUUGUUGGAGCUCGUGAAGCAGUCUGCUUCUGUGUCUGGUGUUGGGUAUGAAGUCAGCAGGGCUGGCGGUUGAGAAGGAAAGAUGGACGUGAAGUGAGAGAGAGCAAGGACAAACGGACCCACGUCUCCCACCCCCUCCAAUCUCGUGAUGGGGAUGCAGAUCCGCUGGGCCCUUCACCUUGGAGCUGCAUGUGCUCCUGGCCCAGGACUCAGAGAAGCUGGAGGGAAGAUGGGACAGGAGUUGGAAGAGCCUGGGGCCUGGCUGCUGCCCCAAGCCCACAAGGCGAAUCCACAGAUGAGCGACAAUGGACAGGAGCUACAACAGAACCUGGCCCCACACCAACCCCUCGGGUGGAACCGUGGCUGCUGCUUCCCUUCUGGCUCUGAGUCACACACUCUUCUUGUAGCAAAACUUGAACUUGAAUUCAGCUCCAGCUUACUAAGUCCAUCCAGGACGAAGCCAUAUGCUCCCCUGGUCGCAGUCUCCAGGCAGUGGUGUUCAGUUUGCAGACCCAGCAGACGGCUACUGGAAGAGGGUAAGGCUACCAGAAGAGGGUGCAGCCCCACUGUCUUCAGGAAAGAGGAAAAGGCUUCCAGGCCUGCCCGACGCUCAGGGAUGGCUGGGAACAGGAAUGUGGAACAGGCGAGGCCACAGGGUGUUUAGUUCAGGAAAUGUUAGGAUUGAAGGGUAGAAAUUAAGUGUGGGAGUGACUGCAUUUGAGAGAUCUGUGCACCAACACAUCCCAUUUAGAAAUUUCAUCAGCGCUGUCUCUGCUGCUCUCCACUGAUAUGCAUCCGGAGAUGAUCGUUGUUGAAAAGCAGUAUCAAUUUAGAGCAGAGAUCUGGAGAGCGCAGAAGAGGGGAUGUGCAGAUCACAGGGCAAACUCCUCUGAAUUUCUGAAGUUUGAUUUUAGUUCACUUUCAAAUAUCAAUAAAAAGAAAUGAAGUUUUUAUGUUUAUAAAAGAG
rnacentral:lncRNA from 1 species